rnacentral:rRNA from 1 species
CACGUAGGGCGCAAGCGUUGUCCGGAAUUAUUGGGCGUAAAGAGCUCGUAGGCGGUCUGUUGCGUCCGCUGUGAAAACCCGGGGCUUAACCCUGGGCUGGCAGUGGAUACGGACAGACUAGAGGUAGGUAGGGGAGAAUGGAAUUCCCGGUGUAGCGGUGAAAUGCGCAGAUAUCGGGAGGAACACCGGUGGCGAAGGCGGUUCUCUGGACCACUACUGACGCUGAGGCGCGAAAGCUAGGGGAGCAAACAGG